GGCGGCGUGCUUACAAACAUGACAAGUCGAACGGUAGUUUAAUUUUGAAGUCUUGUCUUUAAGAAUUAACGUUAGUGGCGACUGGUGAGUAACGCGUGAGUAUCUGCCUAUCACAGGGGGAUAACAGAGGGAAAACUUCUGCUAAUACCGCAUAAGACCACAGGAUGGCAUCAUCAAGGGGUCAAAGGUUAGAUCUGGUGAUAGAUGAGCUUGCGUAUCAUUAGCUAGUUGGUGAGGGUAAAGGCCCACCAAGGCGACGAUGAUUAGCCGAUCUGAGAGGAUGACCGGCCACACUGGGACUGAGAUACGGCCCAGACUCCUACGGGAGGCAGCAGUUAGGAAUAUUGGGCAAUGGAGGAAACUCUGACCCAGCAACGCCGCGUGAAGGAAGAAGGUUUUCGGACUGUAAACUUCUGAUCUAAGGGAAAAAGAAAGUGAUGGUACCUUAGGAGAAAGCCACGGCUAACUACGUGCCAGCAGCCGCGGUAA
rnacentral:rRNA from 1 species